AACACCGGCCAUGUCCCGCACGAUCACAGAAGUUAAGCAACGUCAAGCCUGGUCAGUACCUAUAUCGGUGACUGCUUGGGAAUAUCAGGUGUUGUAA